GGGGGUAACUGGCUUUGACAGCGUGUAGAAGCGGCAGGUAAGCAUGCAGAGCUUUGGCGUUUAAGCUCUAUAAUAACAAAAGCGUCGACCUAUAAUUGGCGAAAAUAACAAUUACGCUCUCGCUGCGUAACCUGAAGUACAGUAGGGUUCCUUUAUUCGCCUCAAAGUGAGGUGAACGAGACAUCUCCCCAUUGCCCCGUUCCGAGACGUUUGGAUAAGGAGGUGCAGAGAAAUUCGGAAAUAGGAGUCGCGGAGUUCCGACGCGAUUCCGAAAUUUAGGAACUAAGGGCAAGAUUGGCUGUCGUGGGCCUGUCUUGUCACGAAAACCAAUCCACAGACUAAGCAUGUAGAAAGCUUGUUGAUUCCGCGUUUGGACGAGGGUUCAAUCCCCUCUACCUCCACU
rnacentral:tmRNA from 1 species